CAGUAGCCGCGGUAAUACGAAAGGUGCAAGCGUUAAUCGGAAUUACUGGGCGUAAAGCGUGCGUAGGCGGUUUGUUAAGUCUGUUGUGAAAUCCCCGGGCUCAACCUGGGAAUGGCAAUGGAUACUGGCAAGCUAGAGUGUGUCAGAGGAUGGUGGAAUUCCCGGUGUAGCGGUGAAAUGCGUAGAGAUCGGGAGGAACAUCAGUGGCGAAGGCGGCCAUCUGGGCCAACACUGACACUGAGGCACGAAAGCGUGGGGAGCAAACAGGAUUAGAUACCCCUGUAGUCCCUGUCUCUUAUAC
rnacentral:rRNA from 1 species